UCCUAUGGAUACCUAUAAAGGCCGAAUAUUUGUGUGACUCAAAAAGGAGCCAAAAAGAUAUCCACAAUCAUCAAUUAUGGUGAAUAACUACCCGCACAAAGGUAAAGAUGAGAUCUUCAUUGUUUUGCUUUAAUAAAAUUUUAUUUGUUGUAUAUAGAUCUUAAAAACAUAAUAGGGAUGAUAUCAUGAGAUAAGACCUAGA
rnacentral:lncRNA from 1 species